UGGCCUGCUCCGUCAGGAAUAACGUCAGCCAGGUCUCUAAAGGAGAGGAGAUCUCUAACUGUGCUGAUCACUCCCUGCUCGUAUGUGGUGUGCGGGCAGCUGUGGUGGUUUUUGCAUUAAUCGGGAUUGCUGUCUAUUUUGCUUGGAAGAAAAAUAAAUACAAGAAGGCUGAAGGUUCUGCUUACCGUCCAGAGAGGGAACAUCAAGAUGAGUCUGUUGUGAUGGUUGAGAUGUAAGGCAUCUGAAGUUCAACUCAGGUCGUCUCUCAUCAUCUUUGUGCAUGUGAAGAAAGGGAGUGGAAGUAAUUUGCUGUUUUUAUUCUAAAAUUACUUCUGGCAAAUGUGUUCACAGUUUAGCAGCACAGCAUGAGUUGUUAUUAUUUGAGGUCUGUUAGUGUUGUUUUGCAUUUGUAUCACAGUUCAAGUACAAGUUGAGGUGCCUGCAUUUUUUCACUCUUUGUAAAUUGCAAUCAUGAUCAUUUAUAUCAUUUUAGUAUUGAACUCAGAUUGAAUCAUGUGCAUGAUAGUUUGUUGUUUUUCUCAUGUGAUUAAAAUGUCAUAGGUAUCCUUUUGCUCGUUUGCUUGCAAUACGUUCUUAUGGAAAAUCUUUUUAGUGUUGUUAUAUAUCCAAUCCAGUUGUGGUACUUUAUGAAGUUAAAUAUUGCUUUCAUGAUAAUAAAAGUAAGUAAGGUUAAUAAAGGUCUGUACAUGUUUUGUGCUUA